rnacentral:rRNA from 1 species
GACGAACGCUGGCGGCGUGCUUAACACAUGCAAGUCGAACGGAAAGGCCCUGCUUUUGUGGGGUGCUCGAGUGGCGAACGGGUGAGUAACACGUGAGUAACCUGCCCUUGACUUUGGGAUAACUUCAGGAAACUGGGGCUAAUACCGGAUAGGAGCUCCUGCUGCAUGGUGGGGGUUGGAAAGUUUCGGCGGUUGGGGAUGGACUCGCGGCUUAUCAGCUUGUGGGUGGGGUAGUGGCUUACCAAGGCUUUGACGGGUAGCCGGCCUGAGAGGGUGACCGGCCACAUUGGGACUGAGAUACGGACCAGACUCCUACGGGAGGCAGCAGUGGGGAAUAUUGCACAAUGGGCGGAAGCCUGAUGCAGCAACGCCGCGUGCGGGAUGACGGCCUUCGGGUUGUAAACCGCUUUCGCCUGUGACGAAGCGUGAGUGACGGUAAUGGGUAAAGAAGCACCGGCUAACUACGUG